rnacentral:rRNA from 1 species
UAGGGAAUCUUCCACAAUGGACGCAAGUCUGAUGGAGCAACGCCGCGUGAGUGAAGAAGGUCUUCGGAUCGUAAAGCUCUGUUGUUGGUGAAGAAGGAUAGAGGCAGUAACUGGUCUUUAUUUGACGGUAAUCAACCAGAAAGUCACGGCUAACUACGUGCCAGCAGCCGCGGUAAUACGUAGGUGGCAAGCGUUGUCCGGAUUUAUUGGGCGUAAAGCGAGCGCAGGCGGAAUGAUAAGUCUGAUGUGAAAGCCCACGGCUCAACCGUGGAACUGCAUCGGAAACUGUCAUUCUUGAGUGCAGAAGAGGAGAGUGGAACUCCAUGUGUAGCGGUGGAAUGCGUAGAUAUAUGGAAGAACACCAGUGGCGAAGGCGGCUCUCUGGUCUGCAACUGACGCUGAGGCUCGAAAGCAUGGGUAGCGAACAGGAUUAGAUACCCUGGUAGUCCAUGCCGUAAACGAUGAGCGCUAGGUGUUGGGGACUUUCCGGUCCUCAGUGCCGCAGCAAACGCUUAAGCGCUCCGCCUGGGGA